UGAUGUAUGUAUGUAUGUAUGUAUGUAUGUAUGUAUGUAUGUAUGUAUGCAUGGAUGCAUGCAUGCAUGCAUGCAUGUAUGCAUGCAUGCAUGCAUGCAUGCAUGUAGCAUGCAUGCAUGCAUGCAUGCAUGCAUGUAUGCAUGCAUGCAUGCAUGCAUGCAUGCAUGC
rfam:Helianthus annuus linkage group 1, whole genome shotgun sequence.